GUCUAUGGUCAUCCCACCCUGAACUCGCCGGCUCUCAUCUGAUCUGGAAGCUAAGUGGGUUUGAGCCUGGUUAAUACUUGGAUGGGAGAGGGGCACAGCAGGUGAUAGGGCUGUAGAGG
rnacentral:rRNA from 1 species